CUUGAUCAGACCUACGUGAACUUCAGAUCAUCCUCGGGAAGGUGCGCCCACUUUCAGGCCGCCCUCACCAAGGGC
rnacentral:sRNA from 1 species